UGGGAGAAAAACCCAGGACCCCGGAGCCUACGCCGUAUCCAAUUGAAUCCAACCUCCAACCGAGGCGAUGGCGGGGGCGGGGAGCCCCCCCCGAAGGCAGACACUAAGGAGACAAAAAAAUGCAAGUGGCUUAAGAGCGAGGAUUUGUUUUUCCGAAUCUACCCCCCCAACAAACCGGUCAGCCAAGAAGCCAAGAAAGCGCUGAGACGAGAAGCGGCGGCGGCUGCUAAGGUACUGAUGGACGGACGGCGACUAAGGAGAGGGGAAAAAAUCCUUGGCUGGUGAUGUCGGAAAGCUGUUUGAAUGCCCAGCGAGGAGGGAGGCGCGGGAGGGCGCGAGAUAGUAAAGCUCUGUAUUGGGUGUGCGCGCGGCGCUCGGUCUCCUCGGGCGCGUGAGGGAGGGGGAGCGCGGUCCCGAGGCGCGCUCCGGGCCCCGCGUGCUCGUGGACGCGCGCGUCCAGCGCGGUGCGCCCGGCGGCCGCCCGGGGCUCCACGCGCGCAGCGCGGCCGCGGCGCCUCCAGGAGCUCAGCCUGGCGCGGGCGCGGGCGGGGCGCUGAGAGAGCGGCGGCGCUAGGCGGGAGGACGCGCGGGAGGCAGAGGGGCUGGGAGAGCUUAGCCCGGGCCACCGAGCGCCAGCACGUCACGACUGCUCCAAACCCUGCACGUCCCGGGAGCUGCGCUUUCUGCGUCUGGGAGCGCCGACCUGUCGCAACCCAAGAGCUGUCAUUUCCGCACCGGGAUUCGGAGGGAUGGAUCGCCCGCCACGAAGGGGGCUGGUCUCGGUCCCCGAACUGCUCUGUCCCCGGGUGGAACAAUGCUAGUUUUUCUCUGCUAGGCUGCAAUUAA
rnacentral:lncRNA from 1 species